GAUGAACGCUAGCGGCAGGCCUAACACUGCAAGUCGAGGGAGAAGCCCUUCGGGGCAGAAACCGGCGCACGGGUGCGUAACGCGUAUGCAACCUACCUUUCACAGGGGGAUAGCCCGAAGAAAUUUGGAUUAAUACCCCAUAAUAUUAUUGGGUGGCAUCAUUUGAUAAUUAAAAUUACGAUGGUGAAAGAUGGGCAUGCGUCCUAUUAGCUAGUUGGAGUGGUAACGGCACCCCAAGGCUACGAUAGGUAGGGGUCCUGAGAGGGAGAUCCCCCACACUGGUACUGAGACAGGGACCAGACUCCUACGGGAGGCAGCAGUGAGGAAUAUUGGUCAAUGGUCGGAAGACUGAACCAGCCAUGCCGCGUGCAGGAAGAAUGCCUUAUGGGUUGUAAACUGCUUUUAUAUGGGAAGAAUAAGGAGUACGUGUACUUUGAUGACGGUACCAUAUGAAUAAAGC
rnacentral:rRNA from 1 species